AAUACACUCAAGAUAUAAAGCUUAUUGUAGAACAAUCACCAUCUCAAAUUUAAAAAGAAUAACACUUGUUGCCAAUUCUUCAUGGGUCGGUGAAAGAGCCACUCAAGAACAAAAUGUUGUCAUUGAGGUUGUCCUCCCAGAGGAAUUGUUCAGGAAAUCAAUGGAGCAGCAGAACGAUUUCUCGAGCAUCACUUUUUCAUUAUUCAAUGAUACAGCACUGUUUGAGG